rnacentral:rRNA from 1 species
GGGUUGUGAGGUUAAGCGACUAAGCGUACACGGUGGAUGCCCUGGCAGUCAGAGGCGAUGAAGGGCGUGCUAAUCUGCGAUAAGCGCCGGUAAGGUGAUAUGAACCGUUAUAACCGGCGAUACCCGAAUGGGGAAACCCAGUGUGAUUCGUCACACUAUCAUUAACUGAAUCCAUAGGUUAAUGAGGCGAACCGGGGGAACUGAAACAUCUAAGUACCCCGAGGAAAAGAAAUCAACCGAGAUUCCCCCAGUAGCGGCGAGCGAACGGGGAGGAGCCCAGAGCCUGAAUCAGCAUGUGUGUUAGUGGAAGCGUCUGGAAAGGCGCGCGAUACAGGGUGACAGCCCCGUACACAAAAGCGUAUGUGCUGUGAGCUCGAUGAGUAGGGCGGGACACGUGGUAUCCUGUCUGAAUAUGGGGGGACCAUCCUCCAAGGCUAAAUACUCCUGACUGACCGAUAGUGAACCAGUACCGUGAGGGAAAGGCGAAAAGAACCCCGGCGAGGGGAGUGAAAAAGAACCUGAAACCGUGUACGUACAAGCAGUGGGAGCACCCUUUGGGGUGUGACUGCGUACCUUUUGUAUAAUGGGUCAGCGACUUAUAUUCUGUAGCAAGGUUAACCGAAUAGGGGAGCCGGAGGGAAACCGAGUCUUAAUUGGGCGUUAAGUUGCAGGGUAUAGACCCGAAACCCGGUGAUCUAGCCAUGGGCAGGUUGAAGGUUGGGUAACACUAACUGGAGGACCGAACCGACUAAUGUUGAAAAAUUAGCGGAUGACCUGUGGCUGGGGGUGAAAGGCCAAUCAAACCGGGAG